ensembl:miRNA mdo-mir-12386 mdo-mir-12386
UUGGGACAGGAGAGUUGGAGCCUCAAGGUUGGAGGCAGGGCUGUGUCUAACCUGUCCCUCCUCUCCUUUCCCAGG